rnacentral:lncRNA from 1 species
UCCUCCCUCCUUUGCUCCUGUUCCUGCCUCUCUAAACAACCCAACAACACAGUCACAGGUGGCCAGCCUGUCUUACAGCACUAGCAGCAGUGGCUGUUUUAGCUCUAGAAAGCAGGAAAUUGAACAUUCAGCCCAAAUACCACCAUCUAUAUAGUCUUCAUAAUCUACAAGAUCCCCUCUCCUCCCAAGCAUUAAGCUCUCCUCCUCCUUCCCAGAUUCAAUUACUCCAUGUCCUCUUUAUCAAAAACCCCAAAUUCUGCCUUACCAAAAGUGCUCCCCUCAACCCAGAAUCCUUACUCCUGGUGUGCUCUUCCCUUCCUACUCAUUCUUGCACUGACAUCCUAGACCACCUGCACACUUCCCAAACGUUUCCUCCAAGCCUCUCACCAACCCCAAUGACCAGCUAUUCACAGAGGGCUCCUCUUCCAGGCCCACUGGCUCCCCCAGAAUUGCUGGAUAUGCAGUUGUUUCUCUUGACCAAGUAAUUAAAGCCAGGCCCCUACCUCCAGGAACCUCCUCCCAAAAAGCAGAACUUAAAGCUGUCACCAGAACCCUAACCCUUUCCAAAUAGGCCUAUCACAUCCUUCAUUCGCAUGCUGCCGUCUGGCAAAAGAGAGGAUUCCUUACUGCCAAAGGAACCCCCAUCACUAAGGUCCCCCUUAUUUACCAACUACUUCAGGCUGCACACCUUCCAACCAAAGUAGGACAUCAAAUGGGAUCAAAUAAAAUCUCAAAAGGAAACAAAAGCCGAUAAAGCAGCAAAAAAGGUCUCUGUUUCUUCUGCCCCUGGCUCUCUCCUCCUCAUUACCCCUGCAAUCCAACCCCAGAAUUCCCCCACUAAAAAAAGCCUCACUACUACAACAAGGCACCUCCUUCCAAAGGAACUAGAUCAUCAAAAAACUCAUCCUCCACCAAAAACAAAUGAAAAAAAAAAAUUCUAACAUCCCUUCACCAAUCUUUCCAUGUUGGAGUGUACCCCCCCUUACCUUCUCCUUUGCCUGUAUUUCUCUUUGCCCCACCUGUCUACCUUACUAAAAAACAUAACCUCAAACUGUCAUAUGUGCUCUGUCACUUCCUCCCAAGGGAUGCUCCACUCUCCAUCUAUUCCUACAUACCCAGUAAGAGGAACCUCAUUAUCGUAUUUCCAGGCACUCUACAGACUUACAGGCUUCCCUGAAAAAAAAACAAAAAAAAAA